AUCUUUUUUGACUCAUAGGCGUGAUGAUUGGCUGUUCACUUCAUUGUGUGACAUUCCCUCCUGACACCUUGUUUUGAUGUCAGUGCAUUACCCAUCUGACA